GCGGGGCCCGCGUCCGCGCCAGUCCCGGCCCGGCCCAGCGCAGGAUGCAGCGCCCCGGAGCCCCGGCCCCGGCUUCUGCAGAGAGAACCCCCCGGCCAAGGGAGUGGAGACCUCAGCUCUAUAGGAAGUGCACGGAUACGACCUGGCUGUUCCUGUUCUUCCUCUUCUGGACUGGUCUGAUGUUCAUCACCGGCUACUCGGUGGCAGCGGGAGCCACGGCAAGACUUCUCUUUGGCUACGACAGCUUUGGGAACGUGUGUGGCAAGAAGAACUCCCCAGUAGAAGGGGCCCCUCUUUCGGGGCAGGACAUGACCCUCAAAAAACACGUGUUCUUUAUGAAUGCCUGCAACCUGGAAGUCAAGGAUGUGAGGCUCAGUUCCACCAUCCUCUGUGUGUCCAGCUGUCCUGAAGAGCAGCUUGAUACCCUGGAAGAGGUCCAGCUCUUUGCAGACAACAAUGGGUCCUUCCUGUGUGUUUAUAGUUUGGAUUCCAUCAACUACACCCAGAACCCAAAUGCAGACUCAUUGUGCCCCAGCCUACCAGUUCCUCCAAGCAAGUCUUUUCCUUUGUUUAACCGAUGUGUCCCUCGGACCCCUGAGUGCUAUUCCUCAUUUGCGUCUGUUUUGAUAAACGAUGUCGACAUCCUCCAUCGAAUCCUAAGUGGGAUCAUGUCCGGAAGGGACACAAUCCUCGGCCUGUGUAUCCUCGCCUUAGCCUUGUCUUUGGGCAUGAUGUUCACCUUCCGAUUCAUCACCACCCUUCUGGUUCAGAUUUUCAUUGCACUGAUUAUUUCCGGACUGUUGCUUGUCUGUGGUGUCUUAUGGUGGCUGUAUUACGACUAUACCCAUGACCUCAGCAUAGAAUUGGACACAGAAAGGGAAAAUAUGAAGUGUUUGCUGGGGUUUGCUAUUGUAUCUACAGUAAUCACGGCAGUUGUGCUCAGCUUGAUUUUUGUCUUCAGAAAGAGAAUAAAAUUGACAACUGAACUUUUCCAAGUCAUAAAUAAAGCCAUCAGCAGCUCUCCUUUCUUGCUGUUCCAACCACUAUGGACUUUUGCCAUCCUUAUCUUCUUCUGGGUCCUCUGGGUGGCUGUGCUGCUGAGCCUGGGAACUGCAGGAGCUGCACAGGUUAUUGAAGGUGGCCAAGUGGAAUAUCAGCCUCUUGUAGGCAUUCGGUAUAUGUGGUGGUACCAUUUAAUUGGCCUCAUCUGGACCAGCGAAUUCAUCCUCACAUGCCAGCAGAUGACUAUAGCUGGGGCACUGGUCACUUGCUACUUCAACAGAAACAAAAAUGACCCUCCUGAUCGCCCAAUCCUUUGGUCUCUCUCCAUUCUUUUCUGCUACCAUCAAGGAACAGCCAUAAAAGGGUCAUUUUUAAUGACUGUGACGAGGAUUCCAAGAACCAUUCUCAUGUACCUUCACAACACUCUGAAAGACAAGCAGCAUGGUGCAUGGUCCAGGUGCAUGUUCAGAUGCUGCUUCUGCUGUUUCUGGUGUCUCGACAAAUGCCUGCGCCAACUCACCCAGAAUGCAUACACUGCAACUGCCAUUAACGGGACCGAUUUUUGUACAUCAGCACAAGAUGUGCUCAAACUCUCAUCCAAGAAUUCAAAUCAUUUUACGUCUGUUAACUGCUUUGGAGACUUCAUAAUUUUUCUAGGAAAGGUGUUGGUGGUGUGUUUCACUGUUUUUGGAGGACUGAUGGCAUUUAACUACAACCGUGCCCUCCAGGUGUGGGCAAUCCCUCUGCUGCUGGUGGCAUUUUUUGCCUACUUGGUAGCCCAUUGUUUUUUAUCUGUGUUUGAAACUGUGCUGGAUGCACUCCUCUUGUGUUUUGCUGUUGAUAUGGAAACAAAUGAUGGAUCAUCAGAAAAGCCCUACUUUAUGGACCAGGAGUUUUUGAGUUUUGUCAAAAGGAUCGACAAAUUAAAUGCAGCAAGGGCACAGGGAGAGGAGAGCUCAUUAAGGAACGAAGAGGGAACAGAACUCCAGGCUGUUGUGUGAUCAGUGCCCAUUAGUUAUUUGUCCCUGGAAAGGGGUCUUCUUCUCAGAGCCAUUCACAGAAUAAAUGUGCUUCUUCCUAAUGCCUCUGGAAAUUUGCUCUACCGGAGACGAUCUCUCAAAAGGUCACCAGCGACUGCUCAGGAGCCAAAUCCAGUGGCGUGUUUCUGCAGCACUCCAGAAAGCCCCUCCACCCCUCUUCCUGUGGCUUCAUUCUUGGUAAAGGACAUCAUCCCCGAGCUUCCCUCUCUGGCCUGCCUUCUCCUCUUCCCUUUGAGAGCUGCCAAUUCUCCCUGAGUUCUGGCUUCUAAUUAAAACACUGAAGAGCAUGGGCUCAGCAAGCUGAAUGCUCGAGUUGGAGUCCCAGCUGCACUGUGCCUCAGUUUCCUCACCUGUAAACCAGGAAUCAUUAACAGCACUUCCAC